rnacentral:rRNA from 1 species
UACAGAGGUCCCAAGCGUUGUUCGGAUUUACUGGGCGUAAAGGGUGCGUAGGUGGCGGGGUAAGUCUGGUGUGAAAGCUCCGAGCUCAACUCGGAAAAGCAUUGGAAACUAUCCCGCUUGAGGGUCGGAGGGGAGACUGGAAUUCCAUGUGUAGCGGUGAAAUGCGUAGAGAUAUGGAGGAACACCAGUGGCGAAGGCGACUUUCUGGUCUGUAACUGACACUGAGGCGCGAAAGCGUGGGGAGCAAACAGG